rnacentral:lncRNA from 1 species
GUGGAGGCUUGUCAGCAGCUCUGGAGAAUGUCGGGACAAGUCCGAGUCGCGUUGGCGUCAAAUAGACGCAAAACGGACUCCGUGUGACGCGAGGACAGCUUUUAGCGAAGAAAUCUGCAAAACAGCAGAUUUCUCUGCUUGCUGUACCGGUACAACCAGCGCAGCUGUACCAGUACAACCAGCGCGCACCCGCUUAGCUGCUCUCGG